rnacentral:rRNA from 1 species
AUGAUAAAACUUGAUUCUUCCAAUUACUCGUUAUGGAAGCCCAUGAUGGAAGACAUCCUUUAUUGCAAGGAUUUGUAUGAGCCAAUUGUGAAAGACAAGAUACCCACAGGUGUCACAGAAGAAGAAUGGAGAGUGUUGCACAGAAAGGUAGUAGGUAUGAUUCGGUUGUACAUCAACCACAAUAUUUUCCACCAUGUUGCAAAUGACACAAAUGCAUAUGAGAUGUGGCAGAAGUUGGAGUCGAUGUAUGAGAGGAAGACAUCAAUGAACAAGGCAUCGGUGAUCAAAAGACUUGCAAAGCUUGAGUACCGAGAUGGCACAAGUGUGAUUGAGCACUUGAAUGUCUUCCAAUGCCAUAAAUCAACUUUCAGCCAUGAAGAUCAACUUUGA